AAAAUAUUGAUUAAUCUUUUUUUUAUGUAGAAUCAGUUUGAUAUGUGGACAAUUGCUAUUUGACAAAGUGAAACGAAACUCUAUAAAAAAUGAAGUUAGGCAGUUCGUCGUAGAUGGGUUAGAACGCCAAAACAAAUGACAUGACCGUGCAGUAAUUAAAAAGUGACAGGUCGUAUGGUAUCACGAGUGCGGCGCAAUAGGGUUACGGCGUUAGUGGAAGCGAGAUUCCUUUGUAUAUAUAGCGACUACCUUAAUAUUGUUCUGAAUUCUUAUAAUCUGGUAACACGGAAUUCAGCAACUAAAUUAUUGUACUUAUUCCUUUGAACAUGGCAAUACCGAAUUCAGCAACUAAAUUAUAUUAUCCCGUUAUCCCCUGUUUCAGUUCUUAAAUCAAAAAUCGUGAUGGGAAAAAGACUUAGUGGGGCCGAGUACAGAAAAAGAGCAGGAAUUAGAAAAGAAGAACAGAAAGAAGUCAGCCGACAAACAGUAAAAACUGACAAUUUUUUGAAAAAUGGAAGUAAAACCAGUAUUUUGAGUGCGGAAACUUCAAACAUAAGUCCUAAUACAAUUCAAUCUGAAGAAGAUGAACCGAUACAUACUCUGCUGUUUGUGACAGUGUGGCAGAAGCGGAAUCAUCUGUAAGUACAACAAUUGAAGAUUCGUCUCAGAAUCAAACGUCGAGUCUUAACGACGUCGGAAUAGUACAAACAAUCAAAAGUCUAAAUAAAGAUCCCGCGCUAUGGAUAAUUGACGAUGAUCGCGAGGUGAGGCUUUGAUCAAAAUAAAUCUAGUGACUUCUCUAAAAGUGAAAUAAUAUAUGCUGAUCAGCGUCGUUUUCUGCCAAUUAGUAUCUUCCAAAGAAAAAUGAAAAAUAAUGAAGUGAAAGAUCGAACUUGGUUAGUUUAUUCUGAAAGUAACAGAUCUUUAUAUUGUGGACCGUGUUUGGCAUUUGGCCCAUUGGAGUGUAAAACUUAAUUUGAGAACGGAGGAUUCAAUGACUGGAAAAAUGCGGAUCAUCGAGUAGCUCAGCAUGAAAACUCUGUGCGUCAUAAAUCUAGUAUUCUUAGUUUGAAAGAUAUUGAUGAAGAAAUACAAUAACUGAAUGGAAAAUAUUUCUGAUGAGAGUUGUUGCUGUCAUGAAGCGAUUGUUUUCAAGAAGUCUAGCUUUUAGAGAAAAAUUAAAAAUUUGAAGAUCCACAUAAUGUAAGUUAUUGUAAGGUGUUGGGACUAUUAGCGGAAUUCGAUCCUUUUCUGACCGUACACAUUGAACGGUUUAUAAAUCAAGGAUCAGGGAGUACCAGUUACUUAUCAAAUACCGCUUGCGAUGAAUUUAUUCUCUUGAUGGGUCAGAAAAUUUCAAAGAAGAUUGGAAACGAAAUAAAACAGCAAAAUAUUUUUCCCUAAUCAUCGAUUCAACAAACAUUCUUUAAAUCUAAUAACAAGUACAGCUGCUGAAUCUACUAUAGAAGAUUGUCGCUUUUUCAUAUUGUUACAGGAAAUCUACGUUUUUUUGAAAGCUCGACACAACGCUAGCAAAAACUAAUGAAUCAAAUCGGAAAAGGCAAAAACGUUAAAAGAGUAAAUUUGACACGCUGGUCAGCUAGAGAGGAUGCAUGCAAAAGUUUGAAAGAAUCUUGGCAUGUAAUUCUAAAAACUUUGGAAUUAAUCAAGGAUGCGGUAGGGAUAUUUUCGAAUUUGCAAAAACUGCAAACGGCAGUAUCGAUUGUUGUAUGGAAUUAUUUUCUGGAGAGAAUAAACAAAGUGAAUGUUCAAA